rnacentral:rRNA from 1 species
CCUACGGGUGGCAGCAGUAGGGAAUCUUUCACAAUGGGCGAAAGCCUGAUGGAGCACCGCCGCGUGCAGGAUGAAGGCCUUCGGGUUGUAAACUGCUUUUAUAAGCGAGAAAUAUGAUGGUAACUUAUGAAUAAGGAUCGGCUAACUACGUGCCAGCAGCCGCGGUCAUACGUAGGAUCCGAGCAUUAUCCGGAGUGACUGGGUGUAAAGAGUUGCGUAGGUGGCAUAAUAAGUAGCUAGUGAAAUCUGGUGGCUCAACCAUUCAGACUAUUAGCUAAACUGUUAAGCUCGAGACCGUUAGGGGUAACUGGAAUUUCUAGUGUAGGAGUGAAAUCCGUAGAUAGUAGAAGGAACACCAAUAGCGUAGGCAGGUUGCUGGGACGGUUCUGACACUAAGGCACGAAAGCGUAGGGAGCAAACGGGAUUAGAUACCCCAGUAGUC